AAAUGACUCUCGGCAACGGAUAUCUCGGCUCUUGCAUCGAUGAAGAACGUAGCGAAAUGCGAUACUUGGUGUGAAUUGCAGAAUCCCGUGAACCAUCGAGUUUUUGAACGCAAGUUGCGCCCAAAGCCAUUAGGUUGAGGGCACGCCUGCCUGGGUGUCACAC
rnacentral:rRNA from 1 species